CCGCCCCCCCUGCCGGUCACGGUACAAAUUCUCCGGAUCGUCUGGGUUAGGCUCCGGUUCUGUAGGAUGUGCAAACGGUUUCCACUCACCCGGCGGGGAGGCCAAAAAUGAAAACAGAGGGUGGUCCACAAGCGAAGAACGGGGUGCGUUUAGAGGUAGAUUUUCCUUCCUUACGAUUUAGGAGUGAGCAGUAAGACUAGCCACUGUCAAGGACAAGGGAUCACCCAAGGCUAUACAUACAAGAAGUCAGGGAUUACUGGGAGCCAUCUUGGAAAUUGCCGACCUCUGGUAGCCAGUGGGUUGUUCUCUAGAUCUACAUGUACCCAGGAGUGGAAUUGCUGGAUCAUAUAGUUUUUUGAGAAACCUCAUACUGUUUUGUACAGUGGCUGCACCAAUUUACACUCCCACCAGCAGUGUACGAGGGUUCCUUUUUUAGAGAAAGGUUUUUUUGUUUGUUGUUUUUGUUUUGU